rnacentral:rRNA from 1 species
GACGAACGCUGGCGGCGUGCUUAACACAUGCAAGUCGAACGGAAAGGCCCUGCUUUUGUGGGGUGCUCGAGUGGCGAACGGGUGAGUAACAAGUGAGUAACCUGCCCUUGACUUUGGGAUAACUUCAGGAAACUGGGGCUAAUACCGGAUAGGAGCUCCUGCUGCAUGGUGGGGGUUGGAAAGUUUCGGCGGUUGGGGAUGGACUCGCGGCUUAUCAGCUUGUUGGUGGGGUAGUGGCUUACCAAGGCUUUGACGGGUAGCCGGCCUGAGAGGGUGACCGGCCACAUUGGGACUGAGAUACGGCCCAGACUCCUACGGGAGGCAGCAGUGGGGAAUAUUGCACAAUGGGCGGAAGCCUGAUGCAGCAACGCCGCGUGCGGGAUGACGGCCUUCGGGUUGUAAACCGCGUUCGCCUGUGACGAAGCGUGAGUGACGGUAAUGGGUAAAGAAGCACCGGCUAACUACGUG